AGAGUUUGAUCAUGGCUCAGAUUGAACGCUGGCGGCAGGCCUAACACAUGCAAGUCGAACGGUAACAGGAAGAAGCUUGCUUCUUUGCUGACGAGUGGCGGACGGGUGAGUAAUGUCUGGGAAACUGCCUGAUGGAGGGGGAUAACUACUGGAAACGGUAGCUAAUACCGCAUAACGUCGCAAGACCAAAGAGGGGGACCUUCGGGCCUCUUGCCAUCGGAUGUGCCCAGAUGGGAUUAGCUAGUAGGUGGGGUAACGGCUCACCUAGGCGACGAUCCCUAGCUGGUCUGAGAGGAUGACCAGCCACACUGGAACUGAGACACGGUCCAGACUCCUACGGGAGGCAGCAGUGGGGAAUAUUGCACAAUGGGCGCAAGCCUGAUGCAGCCAUGCCGCGUGUAUGAAGAAGGCCUUCGGGUUGUAAAGUACUUUCAGCGGGGAGGAAGGGAGUAAAGUUAAUACCUUUGCUCAUUGACGUUACCCGCAGAAGAAGCACCGGCUAACUCCGUGCCAGCAGCCGCGGUAAUACGGAGGGUGCAAGCGUUAAUCGGAAUUACUGGGCGUAAAGCGCACGCAGGCGGUUUGUUAAGUCAGAUGUGAAAUCCCCGGGCUCAACCUGGGAACUGCAUCUGAUACUGGCAAGCUUGAGUCUCGUAGAGGGGGGUAGAAUUCCAGGUGUAGCGGUGAAAUGCGUAGAGAUCUGGAGGAAUACCGGUGGCGAAGGCGGCCCCCUGGACGAAGACUGACGCUCAGGUGCGAAAGCGUGGGGAGCAAAUAGGAUUAGAUACCCUGGUAGUCCACGCCGUAAACGAUGUCGACUUGGAGGUUGUGCCCUUGAGGCGUGGCUUCCGGAGCUAACGCGUUAAGUCGACCGCCUGGGGAGUACGGCCGCAAGGUUAAAACUCAAAUGAAUUGACGGGGGCCCGCACAAGCGGUGGAGCAUGUGGUUUAAUUCGAUGCAACGCGAAGAACCUUACCUGGUCUUGACAUCCACGGAAGUUUUCAGAGAUGAGAAUGUGCCUUCGGGAACCGUGAGACAGGUGCUGCAUGGCUGUCGUCAGCUCGUGUUGUGAAAUGUUGGGUUAAGUCCCGCAACGAGCGCAACCCUUAUCCUUUGUUGCCAGCGGUCCGGCCGGGAACUCAAAGGAGACUGCCAGUGAUAAACUGGAGGAAGGUGGGGAUGACGUCAAGUCAUCAUGGCCCUUACGACCAGGGCUACACACGUGCUACAAUGGCGCAUACAAAGAGAAGCGACCUCGCGAGAGCAAGCGGACCUCAUAAAGUGCGUCGUAGUCCGGAUUGGAGUCUGCAACUCGACUCCAUGAAGUCGGAAUCGCUAGUAAUCGUGGAUCAGAAUGCCACGGUGAAUACGUUCCCGGGCCUUGUACACACCGCCCGUCACACCAUGGGAGUGGGUUGCAAAAGAAGUAGGUAGCUUAACCUUCGGGAGGGCGCUUACCACUUUGUGAUUCAUGACUGGGGUGAAGUCGUAACAAGGUA
rnacentral:rRNA from 1 species